rnacentral:rRNA from 1 species
CGCUGGCGGCAUGCCUAACACAUGCAAGUCGAACGGAGAAUUCCUUCGGGGAUUCUUAGUGGCGAACGGGUGAGUAACGCGUAAGCAACCAGCCUUCAAGAGGGGGAUAAUUUCUGGAAACGGAAUGUAAUACCGCAUAUGCCCACACUGUCGCAUGACAGAGAGGGGAAAACUGAGGUGCUUGAAGACGGGCUUGCGUGCCAUUAGGUAGUUGGUGAGGUAACGGCCCACCAAGCCGACGAUGGCUAGCCGAACUGAGAGGUUGAUCGGCCACAUUGGGACUGAGACACGGCCCAGACUCCUACGGGAGGCAGCAGUGGGGAAUAUUGCGCAAUGGGGGAAACCCUGACGCAGCAACGCCGCGUGAGUGAAGAAGGUUUUCGGAUUGUAAAGCUCUGUCGCAGAUGACGAAAAAAUGACGGUAAUCUGUGAGGAAGCCCCGGCUAACUACGUG